rnacentral:rRNA from 1 species
UACCCGCAGCACAAGUGGUGUCCACGAUUAUUGGGCUUAAAGCGCUCGUAGCUGGCUGAUGCCGUCCCAUGUGAAAUAUUGGCGCUCAACGUCAAUGCGGGCAUGGGAUACCCAUCAGCUUGGGAGCGGGUGAGGUCAGGGGUACUUAUGGGGGAGGGGUAAAAUCCUGUAAUCCUAUAAGGACCAACGGUGGCGAAGGCGCCUGACCAGAACGCAUCCGACAGUGAGGAGCGAAGGCUAGGAGAACGAAUCGGAUCAGAUACCCGAGUAGCCCUAGCAGUAAAUUAUGCAGACUCUGGUGUUGCCGAUGUCUUGAAUAUCGGCAGUACCGUAGCGAAAGUGUUAAGUCUGCCGCCUGGGGAGUACGGCCGCAAGGUUGAAACUUAAAGCAAUUGGCGGGGGAGCACACAAGGGGUGGAUGCUGCGGUUUAAUUGAACCCAACGUCGGAAAUCUUACCGGGAGCGACGGCAGUGUGAAGGCCAGACUGAAGAUCUUGCCUGACGAGCCGAGAGGUAGUGCAUGGCGACCGUCAGCUCGUGGUGUGAACUGUCCGGUUAAGUCCGGGAACGAGCGAGACCCUCAUUGACAGUUGCCACUGUUUCAGUGAUGAAGCAAGCACUCUGUCGAGACCGCCUCUGUUUAAAGAGGAGGAAGGAGAGGGCGACGAUACGUCAGUAUGCUCUGAAUCUUCCGGGCUACACGCGGCAUACAAAGGUUGGCACAAUGGGAUGCAACUCCGAAAGGAGGAGCCAAUCCCCUAAAACCAUCCUUAGUUUGGAUUGAGGGCUGAAACUCGCCCUCAUGAAAAUGGAAUCCCUAGUAAUCGCAUGUCACUAUCGUGCGGUGAAUCUGUCCCAGCUCCU